rnacentral:tRNA from 1 species
GAGGUCGUGAUGUAGCCUGGCAGCAUAGGGGACUGUGGAUCCCUUUGGGCGGGUUCAAAUCCCGCCGACCUCC